ACAGUGGUAGUUCAGUGGUAGAAUUCUUGCUUUAUGUGCAUGAGACCUGGGUUCACUUCCCAGUCGAUGGC
rnacentral:tRNA from 1 species